rnacentral:tRNA from 1 species
GGGAUAUUAGUUAAACAAUAACACCACCUUGUCAAGAUGAAGUUAUGGGUUAGACCCCCAUAUGUCCCCC